CCUACGGGAGGCAGCAGUGAGGAAUAUUGGUCAAUGGCCGCAGGCCUGAACCAGCCAAGUCGCGUGAGGGAUGACGGUCCUAUGGAUUGUAAACCUCUUUUGUCAGGGAGCAAAGGGCGCCACGUGUGGCGUUUUGCGAGUACCUGAAGAAAAAGCAUCGGCUAACUCCGUGCCAGCAGCCGCGGUAAUACGGAGGAUGCGAGCGUUAUCCGGAUUUAUUGGGUUUAAAGGGUGCGCAGGCGGAAUGUCAAGUCAGCGGUAAAAUUUCGGGUCUCAACCCCGUCGUGCCGUGGAAACUGGCGUUCUUGAGUGAGCGAGAAGUAGGCGGAAUGCGUGGUGUAGCGGUGAAAUGCAUAGAUAUCACGCAGAACUCCGAUUGCGAAGGCAGCAUACCGGCGCUCAACUGACGCUCAUGCACGAAAGCGUGGGUAUCGAACAGGAUUAGAUACCCCAGUAGUC
rnacentral:rRNA from 1 species